rnacentral:lncRNA from 1 species
UCAGUCCUUACUUCAUACCCAAUUGUGAAACUUCUAACUUCAGCCUCUUGCAUAGUAAGACAAUUCUCAUCAUUUUUUAAGUAAAUGAGUAACAAAAAAGCUUAAGAUAAAAUUCACAUAUCCUAAUAUUAAUAUCAUGAUAUUAAUGCAUCCACAUCAUCUUGAGUUGCAGUGCAUGUCAUGCCCCACUUCUUUUGCACAUUUUAAUUAUACCUACAAUGAAAGUAAAAUAAAACAGAAAAUGCAACAUUAACAAGGGGAAAGAAAAUACAAAAGCAGAACGUAUAAUCACUUACUUUGCUUGACUUAUCUACAGCUUGACCAAUUGCAGAUGCAACUUUACCAAUUGUUGUCAGUGUAUCCAUGACUAUGUUUUUG